rnacentral:rRNA from 1 species
CGGCGAAAGGGUGAGUAACACGUAACCAACGUACCCCUCAGAUCGGGAUAACCACUGGAAGCGGUGGAUAAUACUGAAUGGUCCUAGGAAGGACAUCCUUCCGAAGGUAAACGGCGGCUUCGGCUGCUGUUGAGGGAGCGGGUUGCGUCCUAUCAGCUUGUUGGUGAGGUAACGGCUCACCAAGGCCAUGACGGGUAGCGGGUCUGAGAGGAUGAUCCGCCACACUGGGACUGAGACGCUGCUCAGACUCCUACGGGAGGCUGCAGUCGAGAAUCUUCCACAAUGGGCGAAAGCCUGAUGGAGCGACGCUGCGUGUAGGAUGAAGGCCUUAGGGUUGUAAACUACUGUCACGCUAUAGGAACCCGUGUAGGUUAAUAGCCUGCGCGCUGACCAAAGCGAGAGGAAGUGCCGGCUAACUCCGUGCCAGCAGCCGCGGUAAGACGGAGGGCGCAAGCGUUGUUCGGAAUCACUGGGCAUAAAGGGCGCGUAGGCGGCCAGUUCAGUCGGAUGUGAAAUCCCCCGGCCCAACCGGGGAACUGCAUUCGAUACUGACUGGCUAGAGGAUGGUAGGAGCCAAUGGAACUCCAGGUGGAACGGUGAAAUGUGUAGAUAUCUGGAGGAACACCGGUGGCGAAAGCGAUUGGCUGGGCCAUUUCUGACGCUGAGGCGCGAAAGCUAGGGGAGCGAACGGGAUUAGAUACCCCGGUAGUCCUAGCCGUAAACGAUGGGUACCGG